rnacentral:rRNA from 1 species
AACGAACGCUGGCGGCAUGCCUAACACAUGCAAGUCGAACGAGACCUUCGGGUCUAGUUGCGCACGGGUGCGUAACGCGGGGGGACCUGCCCUUAGGUUCGGAAUACCUCCCCGAAGGGGGUGCUAAUGCCGGAUAAUGUCUUCGGACCAAAGAUUUAUCGCCUUUGGAUGGGCCCGCGUUGGAUUAGCUAGUUGGUAGUGUAAAAGCCUACCAAGGCGUCGAUGCAUAGCUGGUCUGAGAGGAUGACCAGCCACACUUGGACUGAGACACGGCCCAGACUCCUACGCGACGCAGCAGUGGGUAACACUGGACAAUGGGCGAUAGCCUGAUCCAGCAAUGCCGCGUGAGUCAUGAAGGCCUUAGUGUUGUACAGCUCUUUUACCCGGGACGAUAAUGACAGUACCGGGAGAAUAAGCUCCGGCUAACUCCGUG